AUCGUAACUCCUACGGGAGGCAGCAGUGGGGAAUUUUGGUCAAUGGGCGAAAGCCUGAUCCAGCCAUGCCGCGUGCAGGAUGAAGGCCUUCGGGUUGUAAACUGCUUUUGUACGGAACGAAAAGACUCUGGUUAAUACCUGGGGUCCAUGACGGUACCGUAAGAAUAAGCACCGGCUAACUACGUGCCAGCAGCCGCGGUAAUACGUAGGGUGCAAGCGUUAAUCGGAAUUACUGGGCGUAAAGCGUGCGCAGGCGGUUAUAUAAGACAGAUGUGAAAUCCCCGGGCUCAACCUGGGAACUGCAUUUGUGACUGUAUAGCUAGAGUACGGUAGAGGGGGAUGGAAUUCCGCGUGUAGCAGUGAAAUGCGUAGAUAUGCGGAGGAACACCGAUGGCGAAGGCAAUCCCCUGGACCUGUACUGACGCUCAUGCACGAAAGCGUGGGGAACAAACAGGAUUAGAAACCCCUGUAGUCCUAGAGC
rnacentral:rRNA from 1 species